rnacentral:rRNA from 1 species
AUUGUGGACUCGUAUGAAAGGCAAAAUGAGAGCCUGACUGUCUCUUACAACUAAUCAAUUAAACUGAUCUCCCAGUACAAAAGCUGGAAUACCCCCAUAAGACCAGAAGACCCUGUGAAGCUUUAACUAACCUAUUAAACCCCAUAAUAGUUAAUUUCGGUUGGGGCGACCUUGGAACAAAAAAGAACUUCCAACAUAUGACCUCCUCAUAUAUAAGGCAAACAAGCCUCAUUAGACCCAGUAUAUCUGAUUAAUGAACCAAGUUACUCCAGGGAUAACAGCGCUAUCUUCUUCAAGAGCCCAUAUCAAAAAGAAGGUUUACGACCUCGAUGUUGGAUCAGGACAUCCUAGUAAUGCAACCGUUACUGAGGGUUCGUUUGUUCAACGAUUAAUAGUCCUA